AUGUGCAUUCCUAUAGCGUUAAUGCAUUAGAUCCCAUUAUAACUCCACAGUUAAGAAUGCUUAGGCUAGAGCAAUAUUGGGAUGGGUGAGCACCUGGGAAGUACUAGUGUUUUACAUG
rfam:Picea glauca, whole genome shotgun sequence.